rnacentral:antisense_RNA from 1 species
CUUGAUCGAGCCCAGCCACAACGGGUUCGAGCGCUCCUGGCCGUAGGUCGCGAGCAGCGCCUGCGCCUC